UACGUAGGUGGCAAGCGUUGUCCGGAUUUAUUGGGUUUAAAGGGUGCGUAGGCGGUCCUAUAAGUCAGUGCUGAAAUAUCCCGGCUUAACCGGGAGGGUGGCAUUGAUACUGUAGGACUUGAGUAAAGUUGAGGUUGGCGGAAUUGACGGUGUAGCGGUGAAAUGCUUAGAUAUCGGGAGGAACACCAGUGGCGAAGGCGACUACCUGGCCUGUUCUUGACGCUGAGGCGCGAAAGCUAGGGGAGCAAACGGG
rnacentral:rRNA from 1 species